CAGCAGCAGCCGCGGGAAUACGAAGGGUGCAAGCGUUACUCGGAAUUACUGGGCGUAAAGCGUGCGUAGGUGGUGGUUUAAGUCCGUUGUGAAAGCCCUGGGCUCAACCUGGGAAUUGCAGUGGAUACUGGGUCACUAGAGUGUGGUAGAGGAUAGUGGAAUUUCCGGUGUAGCAGUGAAAUGCGUAGAGAUCGGAAGGAACAUCUGUGGCGAAGGCGACUAUCUGGGCCAACACUGACACUGAGGCACGAAAGCGUGGGGAGCAAACAGGAUUAGAUACCCCCGUAGUCCCUGUCUCUUAUAC
rnacentral:rRNA from 1 species